GGGUGGUGUACAUAGGUCUCCAUUUUUUAUCUUCACAACAAUCCUGUGAGGUAGAUUUAGGUAAUUAAAAAAUUAAAAAAUUGUCCAGUAGCACCUUACAGACCAGCUAAGUUUGUUCUGGGUAUAAGGUUUCGUGUGCAUGCACACUUCUUCAGAUACCUGUGAGGUAGGUGAGGCUGAGAGUGACUGGCCCAAGGUCACCAAGUGAGCUUCAUGACUGCGUGGAGAUUUGAACCCUGGUCUCUCAAGUCCUUGUCUGACACUUUAACCACUACACCACACUUUACACUUCAUCGCUACCAUUUGCUUGCGCUUUUUUUCUAACUAAAAAUCUCCAAAUGCACCCCUGUGUCCUUCUUCUCACUUUUCUGGGCUGAGGCCCCUGUGCUCACCUUACGUGCUGCUCAUCAUGCGUUGUCAGGGGGAGACUGGUAGUUUAUUUCACCUUAUGACCAGAUAAUGGGUUUUCUAUCAGCAUAAAAAUGUGUAGCAGGGCCAAUAAAUCAUAUUCUUCCCAUAAUGUGGGAUGUCUUUGGAAGGUUGAUAUAAAAUGUGCUACCUGCCAACAGUUCUUUAAGAGGGUCAUAACUUUGGGGGCGGGGAUGGAGGAGCACAGCUUGGGCAAAUCUCUCCUAGUAUACCUACAGAAAUAGAGGCCAGGGCCUUUAAUUUGUAGUUUUUCAUUAAGAAGAGAUUUAAGGCAGGAUUGCAGCAUUGCUGCCUUUAAUUUUCUUUGAGGGAUUCUUUCUUCCUUGACUUAACAAGCUUACCUUUGUCAGUUGGUUUGAUUCCUCCCCCCCCCCCCCCGGGCUGCUGCCCCCAUCAUUUUAUUCAGUGAAGGGGAUGAGAUGAAGCUGUUACUUCUGCCACAUCAGAGUCUUUUUUCCCUCCCCACCAGAGCUGUUAGCAGUGGAAAGAACAGUGUUUUAAUUUUCUGUUGUCUUGCCAAAUCCAAACGGGAUUAAAUGCUUUCAAGGUCUUUGGGCUAUCGCUUUACCCAAAACACCCAUCCCAAAACAUUCGGAGAGGCAGAAAGACGCUGCAUAGCUAUUUACUUUAAAUGCCUGAUUAAAAUUUCAUGAAGACAGGAAGUCAGGGAAAAGAAAUAGAAUGCAGGAACGACAAAAUCCAGGUCUUUGUAAUUUUUAGCUCGACAUCAUACAACAGCCAUCGAGGGGUGUGGGUGUGUGUUAGGUUGUAAGGAAAUAAAAGGUAUACAAUUAUGCUGAAACUUUGAAACUGCAUUCUGUUGGUGUUUAGGACUGUGUGUGUUUGAGUAUAAUUGUAGCUCAUUAACACAUAUACACCAUGCAUUAUCUUGCCCCUCACAGAGCUACAAUGCGCAGCACCUUAAAACUAUAGUUUCCAUGAUUCUUGAGGGGGGUGCAAUUUAAAUGCAUGGUAUGUAAACCUGGGAUUCUGACAACCAUUAUUUAAGGUUACCCAAAAGUUUUGUGUUUUUAAUACAAUUCUCAGACAUUAGGGAAAUGUAUUUUUUCAACUGAAACUUAUUUCCCCUGUCUUAGUUGGAAGGAAAUAUUGUAAUGCCAAAAUAGUUUUACAGUCCUUUGCAUGUCUGCUCAGAAUACGUUUCAUUGAUCUCAGUAGAGCUGACUCCCAGAUCAAUCAAUACAGGAUUUCAGACACAUGCAUAGGCAAUACUAUGCACAGACUGGGCCUUACUUCCUAAUAUGUUUGUAUAAUAUUGUGCUGUUAAGUGUGUGUCAUUUUGGGGCAGGCAGGGGUGGAAAUAGAGUGAGGAUGGGAGAAAAAGGAGAAUUGGGGGGAAUAUUUGCUUUUGAAGUCUUGAGACCUAAUGUUCUUCAAAAUACAUUCUUCUUCUUAAACUUAUUAAAAAAAUGAAAUGCUUUUUUCUCCUUAAUAAAUAAUUGAAUGUUGUACCAUUGCUACUGAGAGUGCAUGCUUGCAAAUACUCAAGUGCAGACCAUUUUAUAUUGGAAGCAAUCAAUUUAUUUUCAUUGGGUAAUGUCUGGCUGCUCAGAUGACUUAUCAUAUCCCUAACUGAAUAUUUGGGCAGGCCCUACCACCAAACAAAAUCUGGUUUCAGUCAGCGGCAGAGGAAGCCGCUUGGGUGCCUGGGGCAGCGCGUCCAGGGAUGGGACGAGCCGCCCAUAGGGGAAGGGCGCACCACGGGGCCUCCGGAGUCUACCUGCCUCCUCCCAUUCAGCCGCCCUACAACUGGGUGGGAGGCAGCGGACAGACUGUUUGGAAAGCGUGAAGCCUGCGCACACCCAAGCCACCGUGUCUCUCCCAGGAGAGACGUGUCGCCGGUGACACCCGGGGUGGCCUGCAUCCACUGCACUCCCCUUCCUCUGCCCCUGGUUUCAGUAGGCCAAGCUAAUGAACAAAUGGCAAGUUUGAUUUUUUAUUUUUUUUACAAACAGUUGAGAAGAAGGUGCGGUUGAACCAUCUCUGGGACUUUGACUCCACGGAAGCCCAGAGGUUCUCCGUAUUUAGUGGUGGGAGAGAGGACUAGAUUUGAGGCUGUUGCUCCUUCCCCUUGGGCAACACAUUGUGUCUCCUUGGUCUCUGUAUCGUCACAUGAAUGAGUUCCUAAUGGUCAGACAGCACUGAGAACAUUCUUAACCUGGCAGCUUCAGCCACCUUAACAGAUCUCUUAGACAAGCUUACAUUUGAAGCACGAAUAACACACAGUGAGAUUGUACAACUUAGGGACAAACUCAGCGUUGAAUGAGCCCCAAGUCCCUGGACGGCUGACAAGCUACGACAAGUUUUUUUGUUUUAUUAACAAGUUCAUUGGCUUGCUAAUACACAGCAUGCCUCAUGUGGUACUCUGCCCUUGAAGGAAGGAAGAAAGGCAAAUUAGUUGCUUAAAAAAGGAAGUCCUCCCUCCCCCCCCCCUGUUUCUAGAAAAAACACAAUAAUAUUCUCCAUGAGGCUUUACAGGGCAAAUGUCUUUUCAUUCAAUCCUCAUGUGCGCACUACGGUCUUUUUGCAUCCAUUACCAUCAUGUCACAGGUGCAAGCCACCAGGGAGGGUGCUGCAGAUUUAAUUGUGAGGCAGGUGGUGAUAACUCGGCGCCAUAAUGCAGUCAUCCCAAGGUGCGUUUGUGCAUCUGUUAAGCAUGUGAGGAUUUUAGUUUAUUUUUCUUUCUUUUUUAGGGGGUUGUUUUCCUCCUAUAAGGUGCCACCGGGGAAAAAGGUUAACAAGACCAAAGGAAGUCAAAAGAGGCUGGCAAUGGCUUCUAAGGUUAAAUAAAAUUAAUAGUAAAUAUCCAGUUUAUGUGCAUGCAAGUGACAGCAGACAAAAAUGUGCCUGGCUCUUUUGCAUAGACAUUUGUACAGUCCCUCAAAUGAGUUAGGUUGUCUUGUCUCAUGUGAAUUCUCACCCUCUGCCCCUUGUGACUUCCUGCUCCUGUUUUUUAGCUUUUCUGGAGAGAGGAACUGGCUGCUUCCCAAAUGGCAAAGGAUUCCUUUUUAUCCUUGGAUUUUUUGAAGAUUUUUUUUUAAGGUUGCCUUUUGGAAAGAAGGGCGUUAGAGUUAGAGGAUAAACAUCCAAGGAAAGCUCUUGGUAGGGGACUGCAGAGUACUUCUAGGAGUUAAACCUAAUAGAUACAAAUAUGCUGUUCUUGCUAAUGUAUUAUUUGUUUAUUUGAGGCAUUCCUUUUAUCCCCCUCUUUGGCCAGAAAAAUCUGUCAUCUUAAUAAUCAGAGAUUUAUUUAUUUAUUUAAAAAAACCAACACGUUUCUAUGCUGCUUAAUAUUUCUAAAAUACAACU